CACGUAGGGCGCAAGCGUUGUCCGGAAUUAUUGGGCGUAAAGAGCUCGUAGGCGGUCUGUUACGUCUGCUGUGAAAACCCAGGGCUUAACCCUGGGCUUGCAGUGGAUACGGGCAGACUAGAGGCAGGUAGGGGAGAAUGGAAUUCCUGGUGUAGCGGUGAAAUGCGCAGAUAUCAGGAGGAACACCGGUGGCGAAGGCGGUUCUCUGGGCCUGUACUGACGCUGAGGAACGAAAGCGUGGGGAGCGAACAGG
rnacentral:rRNA from 1 species